AUAAUAACCACAUAUUUUCUGAAAUGUUAAAACUCAACAGAAAAAGGGCUGAAAAUGCAAAGUCCAAGGAGCCAGAUGGCUCGAUUGUAAAAUACAGUAAAGCGUAGAGCUAAACUGCAAAGAUUCGUAAGCCUCGGGAUCGAAUCAGAAUUUACUUGGACCCAGUUAACAUUAAGAUAAAGUCCGAGGACUAAAUCGAGAAAUGGCUGAAAGGAUAAGAUGCCCUUUCUUUCUCCUGUGUGGCCAUCCCUGUAACCGUCGCCUCAGCGGCCACGGCCUGGCGUGGCCAGCCACGGCCGGGCGCGGGCGGAGCGCGGCGCACGGGGCGGUCGCGGGGCGCGGCGCGGCGCUGCCGGGCGGCGGCCAGUCGAGGCGGCGCGGCAGGGACGAAACCGCUGGAGCCGGCAACUUGGUUCUGCGGGGACUGAAGCCAAUCGAUGCCACUUGCCAUGGAUGCCUUCGUCCGCCGUCCAGCGUCAAGAGCCGCUGGGGGGCGUUGUUGUGCGUCUCGCGCUGAGGUCGCUACGCCGCCGCAUCGCGAGGAUGCAUGCCAUGGUUGCCAGCGCCGCCACCGGGAGGUCGAGGAUGCGGGCACCGCGCGCUAAGCGCGUGCGGUUGUUUCCAUCGCAGCCGCUCGCCCGUGGGCCGUGGCACGUCUUGCCAUACACCGGCUGGUGCCUCGCUGCAGAGCAGCGGCCACGGGCGCCGCCAUGCUCCUUGAGGGGCGUCUCCAUGUAGGUUGUGAACGGCGCCUCCGGCCGCUGCGGGCUGGAGCGCUGGGCCUCUGCCACCGGUGAUGCAGCCGUGCGGUAGAUCACCGUUGGCACCAUCGGCCGCAACCAGCGUCUCCGCUGCCUUGUGCCGUCAUGCGAGCAGCGAGCGGCUCGAUGGUACUUUCUUUUCUCCUCCUUUACGCACUCAGAUGAGAGCAAUUUGCUUGUGUGCGUAGGCGUACAGGUAACAAUCAGAUCAUUGAUUGAUUAUUAGAAGACAAGAUCAAAAAGUGUACUUGAUUGAUUCCUCUUUGUAAGCCUUCUUGCCAUUGACGGGAAGUUGCCGAUCGGAUCGCCACGUUUAGCACCAUGGUGGUGGCAUGGAUCGGGUGGCGGCGGGCUGCACGCCGAACGGAGAUCUGGAUCGUCCGCAUCCACCACCCCAAUCCGCGAGGGCUGUCAUCCGAGAACGACUCCAUCGCGCGUAGCCGCUGUUGCUCUCUCGGCAGAGCGUGCUGAUAACGUGUUAGAAUAGACGAGAAAGACGGGAGACACAGAAGUAAAAUAAAUCCUUGUCCUCAUUGAUGAUGGGUUACACAUAUAUAUAACCCCCGAAGGGGUGUCUCGGAAGGGACACGAGGCAACCGUCUCCUUUAGGAAAAGUAUGGAUUAACAGGAUUAAUUAAAUCCUAACACAUUCAUAAGUCGUUUGCUUGCCAACAAACAAGUCCAUCUCUCAGCACAACAGAUGCCAAAUUCUCAGCUACUAAAAUGAUUAAAUCUAUAUCUCACCACAGCACACAGCUCAUACCAAAUUCGA
rnacentral:rRNA from 1 species